GGCCUAACACAUGCAAGUCGAACGGUAGCACAGAGAGCUUGCUCUUGGGUGACGAGUGGCGGACGGGUGAGUAAUGUCUGGGAAACUGCCCGAUGGAGGGGGAUAACUACUGGAAACGGUAGCUAAUACCGCAUAACGUCGCAAGACCAAAGUGGGGGACCUUCGGGCCUCACACCAUCGGAUGUGCCCAGAUGGGAUUAGCUAGUUGGUGAGGUAAUGGCUCACCAAGGCGACGAUCCCUAGCUGGUCUGAGAGGAUGACCAGCCACACUGGAACUGAGACACGGUCCAGACUCCUACGGGAGGCAGCAGUGGGGAAUAUUGCACAAUGGGCGCAAGCCUGAUGCAGCCAUGCCGCGUGUAUGAAGAAGGCCUUCGGGUUGUAAAGUACUUUCAGCGAGGAGGAAGGCAUUAAGGUUAAUAACCUUAGUGAUUGACGUUACUCGCAGAAGAAGCACCGGCUAACUCCGUGCCAGCAGCCGCGGUAAUACGGAGGGUGCAAGCGUUAAUCGGAAUUACUGGGCGUAAAGCGCACGCAGGCGGUCUGUCAAGUCGGAUGUGAAAUCCCCGGGCUCAACCUGGGAACUGCAUUCGAAACUGGCAGGCUAGAGUCUUGUAGAGGGGGGUAGAAUUCCAGGUGGUAGCGGUGAAAUGCGUAGAGAUCUGGAGGAAUACCGGUGGCGAAGGCGGCCCCCUGGACAAAGACUGACGCUCAGGUGCGAAAGCGUGGGGAGCAAACAGGAUUAGAUACCCUGGUAGUCCACGCCGUAAACGAUGUCUAUUUGGAGGUUGUUCCCUUGAGGAGUGGCUUCCGGAGCUAACGCGUUAAAUAGACCGCCUGGGGAGUACGGCCGCAAGGUUAAAACUCAAAUGAAUUGACGGGGGCCCGCACAAGCGGUGGAGCAUGUGGUUUAAUUCGAUGCAACGCGAAGAACCUUACCUACUCUUGACAUCCAGAGAACUUAGCAGAGAUGCUUUGGUGCCUUCGGGAACUCUGAGACAGGUGCUGCAUGGCUGUCGUCAGCUCGUGUUGUGAAAUGUUGGGUUAAGUCCCGCAACGAGCGCAACCCUUAUCCUUUGUUGCCAGCGGUUCGGCCGGGAACUCAAAGGAGACUGCCAGUGAUAAACUGGAGGAAGGUGGGGAUGACGUCAAGUCAUCAUGGCCCUUACGAGUAGGGCUACACACGUGCUACAAUGGCAUAUACAAAGAGAAGCGACCUCGCGAGAGCAAGCGGACCUCAUAAAGUAUGUCGUAGUCCGGAUUGGAGUCUGCAACUCGACUCCAUGAAGUCGGAAUCGCUAGUAAUCGUAGAUCAGAAUGCUACGGUGAAUACGUUCCCGGGCCUUGUACACACCGCCCGUCACACCAUGGGAGUGGGUUGCAAAAGAAGUAGGUAGCUUAACCUUCGGGAGGGCGCUUACCACUUUGUGAUUCAUGACUGGGGUGAAGU
rnacentral:rRNA from 1 species